AACCCUCCUUCUCAAAAGAUAAAUAAAAGAAGAAGAAGCACUGAAACCCUCACGGCGCGGUGAGGCGGCCGCGGCGGAAGGAGAGCUAGCGCCUAGCGCCGAGACCACCUCCUAUUCGACGGUAAGGGCUCGCCGGCCGCGCGCUCCCCUUCGCUUAGCCGCGUGGACUGCUUCCAAGUUUCUGCUUUAUUUCAUUGCGAGGUUGACUAAGUACUGCUCUUUUCAGCCUGAGCUUAAGGAUUCUCCAUUGGAAUGCCGUGGGCAAUUCAUUAUGUAUCCAGGCAGUCAUCUGGGUGUGUAUUUUCUCACCCGAUUAAAGAUUUUUGCACACCAAAAGUAAAACAGGGGGAGCAUAUUGCAAACAGGAUACAGCUACCACGUUAAAAGGGGCCCCUUGCAUCACAGAAUUUCCUGAAUCAGUACAUUUAUCUGGGAUUCAUUGCCCAGACCGGUGAAAAAAAAGGAUGCCUCGGCUGAUGUUUAUUCCUGUAUCUGUAUGAAUGGUAUCUACCCCCGUUAUGAUUAUCCUACUGCCUCAUACAGGAUCCUGGUUCUGAUGGAGCUGUGCGGCCAUAUCCAGCCAGCGGUGCCGCGGCGACCCCUCUCUCAUUCAGCAAGCACCUGAAGUGUGCCAAUCUUGCAGUGACCGCCGUGGGGUUCUUCGCCAGCCUCUCAACCGGAGUCCACAGCCGCUCUUCAACAAAAUAAAUGAAUUUGUGAGUCUCAAAGCAACAUGAAUGGAGAGGUAGCUUUUGCGGGUUUUAUGCUAUAUGUUGACAAUAUUAAGUACUCCAAAACUAAAACUAAACUUCUUCAGAAUUUAAUAUGAUGGGAGUAGAAUUUAAUAUCUUCAGAAUUUAUAAGAUCACACAUCUAUUAUGUUCCUUUGAUUGCUUAUAAAGUGAUACACAACAAGUAACCAAAACUGGAAUUUCUUCAUUUAUGUUGUCAGCGCUCGACUCAAAAGAGAGCAUAUUAUUAAUAGACUUGAUGUAUGUUCUCAUGGAUUUAUAAAAUGAAAUUAAACUCUGUACGAAACAUUUGUGCUCACAGUGUGAGUUGUGCCUCCCAUUUCUCAAUAUCAUGCAGCAUGUCACAUGAUUUAUGUAAAAGAACCCCAUUUGGACAGAAUGGUUCAUUGCAACUCGGUUAAUAUUAGUUCUGCUAGAUGUACAGAGGACAGUUUGUCAUUCUGACUAUUGACUACGUAUAGAUGUUAUACCAAUUCAAGAAAAAACCGUUUCAAAAAGUGUAGAUGCUAUUGCCUAGUUUUAGAUGAUCAACCAUAAUACUGCUUCAAGUUAUACUAUGUUGUGUUGUGACAUAUAGAUAUCAAAAAUCUUGUCACUAUAACCUUGGCAUGGCAUAAAUGCAUGACAGAUAUCUGCUAAAUAUGUAAGAUUUUCAUAUAAUUAGAAGGUCAAGAGGAUAUUCUGCUUAUUAUACCUGCAGCUGCUGCAGCACGAGGCCAAAUGGUUUGUUGAAUGUCGGAUGCAUCUAUGUGUUCGCCCCACAUGCAUACUUCUCCGCCAAGAAUCAACUUCUGUUGUUCUGGGUUGUAGAUAUUUGUCAAUGGUUCAUUCAUAUAGAAUCCUUCCCAUGUAGCAUCCAGGUGAUCUAGGUACCACUUAUCCUGGUUGCUGACAAUGCAUCUCAGACCAACAGAAACCACUUUCUCUGCAACUCCACCUCCAAGCCUGAUAGUUAAGAUAACAGAAUAUCAGUUCUAAUUUCUGAUGAACAAAGACUGGUUGUAUUUCUUAAUUAGGUGGAGAAACUACUAGCAGUGAUUCCGCUUCUGAAACUCCAUUGUCUUUUCUUAUGAACAUUAGCAAUCUAAUAACUCAAACAACCUUGUAGUAUAUUACAUGCUGAACAGUAGUCAUUGCAGGGUUACUGUCAGUAGUUUUGUUUAUGAGAGGUGUCUAUUCAUGCGUCUAACAGUAUAUUAGAUUUUCCUCAUAAGGCCUAGCGUGUCUGUUGUGAUUGACCUGAUGGCAGAAUCUGGCUGUGUGAUUUCAUAUAUUUUUUGUACAAGGAUGCUGGUAAAUUAAAAAUGUAACUGAACCCAAUAGGCGGUUAGGGAAUACCAGUUAUGCACCACAGUUUUGCGGUCCAACUUGUCUCCAAAGUUGUUAAAUGUUUCUUCCCUGCAAGCAUGAUGAAGUGUUUGUCAGCCAGUGGAAAGAUUUGAAUAUGCAGAAACUAGCUGCUAUACCGGUCGCCCUACCAGUUAAUAAUUUCGUAGCCAUGUGAAAUUGCAAUCUUUUGAGCCCUCAGGACAAAAUAUCUGUAGGCAUCAGACUCAUUCAUACCAUGUUGAACCAACCUGCGCACCAGGAAAAAGACUUCCAAAUGUCAUCAAGGUAUUAAGUUAUCGCAUCUUUAUUUUUCCAAAACUCUCUAAAGGACAUACCAUGAUUUAAUGCGUGGUGUGGUAGUCCAGCAACCUGGAAUCCAUGGUAAAGAGUGAAUAGGCUAUUAAUUUAGCAUUUGUAGAUUUUAUGCGCUACUGCAAGACAUCUGCAACUUACUUGUAUCGACCUCGUCACCUCCCAAAUGGACAAACUUGAACUUAAAAACCUUGCUAAAAUCUGAAUGGAUAACAAAAAACAAUGUUACCAUCGUAUUAUGUUCUGUUUUGCAAAUUGCUCAAUAUUUAUUCAGGCCAUUCAACCAUUUUUUUUAUGUCGCCAAGUUUAAUAUAAAAUGUCAAUUUUCUUCAUUUUUGCAACAGGUGAGUAUUUUAAUUGGGUCUUUCAAAGUUAGCGAGUUGGUAUGGUGCAAAUCGAGCAUCAUUUAUUUAUAAUUUGUGUAUUACCUGAAAGAAUUCCGUCGAUCACUUUAAAUGUGAAUUCGCUGCUGACAUCAAGCGGUUGUUGGCAGGUAGCUGAUGGCCACAAUGACGGAUAUCCAACACCCCUGAAGCAAUAGAAAUAUACCAGAUGCUGAAUUUCAGGCAGGCUUGAUGUUAUAUGUAUUUUUUAUACGUUGCACUUAUAGUUAAAUUCUACUAUGUGGUUUCAAACAAUA
rnacentral:lncRNA from 1 species